AUUGAACGCUGGCGGCAGGCUUAACACAUGCAAGUCGAGCGGGGUGAUGGUGCUUGCACUAUCACUUAGCGGCGGACGGGUGAGUAAUGCUUAGGAAUCUGCCUAUUAGUGGGGGACAACAUCUCGAAAGGAAUGCUAAUACCGCAUACGUCCUACGGGAGAAAGCAGGGGAUCUUCGGACCUUGCGCUAAAUGAUGAGCCUAAGUCGGAUUAGCUAGUUGGUGGGGUAAAGGCCUACCAAGGCGACGAUCUGUAGCGGGUCUGAGAGGAUGAUCCGCCACACUGGGACUGAGACACGGCCCAGACUCCUACGGGAGGCAGCAGUGGGGAAUAUUGGACAAUGGGCGGAAGCCUGAUCCAGCCAUGCCGCGUGUGUGAAGAAGGCCUUUUGGUUGUAAAGCAUUUUAAGCGAGGAGGAGGCUACCUGGAUUAAUACUCUAGGAUAGUGGACGUUACUCGCAGAAUAAGCACCGGCUAACUCUGUGCCAGCAGCCGCAGUAA
rnacentral:rRNA from 1 species